rnacentral:rRNA from 1 species
UUCCGGUUGAUCCCGCCAGAGGCUACUGCUAUCGGGGUCCGACUAAGCCAUGCGAGUUGAGAGGGGUAAGCCCUCGGCAUAUUGCUCAGUAACACGCGGAUAACCUGCCCUUGGGUUUGGGAUAACCCCGGGAAACUGGGACUAAUACCGGAUAGAUCAAAGAAACUGGAAUGUUCUCUGAUCGAAAGCUCCGGCGCCCAAGGAUGGGUCUGCGGCCUAUCAGGUAGUAGUGGGUGUAACGUACCUACUAGCCUACGACGGGUAAGGGUUGUGAGAGCAAGAGCCCUGAGAUGGAUUCUGAGACAUGAAUCCAGGCCCUACGGGGUGCAGCAGGCGCGAAAACUUUACACUGCGGGAAACCGCGAUAAGGGGACCCCGAGUGCCAGCACCUAGUGCUGGCUGUCCAGCUGUUCAAAUAACAGUUGUUAGCAAGGGCCGGGCAAGACCGGUGCCAGCCGCCGCGGUAACACCGGCGGCCCGAGUGGUAGCCGUUAUUAUUGGGUUUAAAGGGUCCGUAGCCGGCCUAUUAAGUCUCUUGGGAAAUCUGGCGACUCAAUCGUCAGGCGUUCAAGAGAUACUGGUAGGCUUGGGACCGGGAGAGGUGGGAGGUACUCCAGGGGUAGGGGUGAAAUCUCGUAAUCCUUGGGGGACCACCGAUGGCGAAGGCAUCCCACCAGAACGGGUCCGACGGUGAGGGACGAAAGCUGGGGGCACGAACCGGAUUAGAUACCCGGGUAGUCCCAGCCGUAAACGAUGCUCGCUAGGUGUCAGGUGCGGUGCGACCGCAUCUGGUGCCGCAGUGAAAACUUGAAGCGAGUCACCUGGGAAGUACGGUCGCAAGGCUGAAACUUAAAGGAAUUGGCGGGGGAGCACUACAACGGGUGGAGCCUGCGGUUUAAUUGGAUUCAACGCCGGG